UCAGCCUUCAGCCUAGUGGCGGAACUUCACCCUGUCACUUCAGAGCCUUGUUUCCUCCUGUUUUUUCAGGUCUUGGAUGUUUUUCCCUCCCCAUGGUCUUCUCUCACUCUUAACCUAGGUGUGUUCUCCAGGCUUCCUGACAGUUUAGAGUUGAGCCAUUCCAGAUGGUGUAAUAUAGCUUCCCAUUCAUCUGUGCUGCCUCCGUCUCCUCUCGGCCCCUUUCCACAGAGCUUUUUUAUGUUUGCAAAUAGGAUGGCAGAGUGCCAUCUUUUCCAGAAGAACCCCAUGCCUCAAGUCCCCACUUCCCACCCACCACACAGUUCCAUCUGGAUAAAUGGUGUCCUGGUAUCUGUUCCCCCCUCCAGGAUCUGAUCUGGAUCUCUUCCAGAUCCAGCAGAGAUCAAGACUGGAAGGAAUGGGGAGGUAGUAUGAAAUGCAGCAGCAAGGAGGCAAAGAUUGCUGAGUACUCUGGUCCUAAUACUUGCUCUUUUUCUAGCCAUGGCACUGAAGAGGGACAGCAAAUCUUGAAGCAGCCGGUGUCAGAGAGACUGGACUUUGUGUGCAGUUUUCUGCAGAAAAAUCGAAAACAUCCCUCUUCUCCAGAAUGCCUGGUGUCUGCACAGAAGGUGCUAGAGGGAUCAGAGCUGGAACUGGCGAAGAUGACCAUGCUGCUCUUAUACCACUCUACCAUGAGCUCCAAAAGUCCCAGGGACUGGGAACAGUUUGAAUAUAAAAUUCAGGUAAGCCCUUGUGCCUCCAUGCCACCUAGCAGGCCUAGCCCAUGCUUCACCUCAUCUGACUAGUUUUUUUUUGAACAGCAGAUACUGGUCUUUUUAAAAUACAGUUAUAGCAAUUAUUGCCAUUCAUCAUAGAAAG
rnacentral:sRNA from 1 species